CAAAGUCUAAGUUUUGUUCGACUCGUAAGAAAGAAGCGCACAUGAGAAAAGAGUAAACGUUACAUUGUUUUAUAAGGACUUGUGUUAUAACAUCAUCUGCCUUCUCCUGGUAUUGUACGGACAAAAUACUAGGAAAUGUAUAUUAAGUGCUCGAUAAAUACAAUUUAAAAGGGCUUGUAGUGUUCACGCCUUAGAGGGAUGUUGUUGAUGGUCGUGUUACUUGUCUUCUUCAUGUUCUUGCUACAAUGGUUCACAGUAUUGUUCUUUCUAAAACGGUUCACAAUAUCCUAUGAUCAGUGACCAGUCUAUAAUGUUUUUGUAUUCUGUUUCUAUGGUUAGUGUAUGUUUUGAAUGUUUUUAUUUGUAAAAUUUGCAGGCAAGGGGAUUGAAGAAGCAUUUGAAGAGGCUCAAUACACGUUUUGAUAAACUUUUUGGUCCCUUCGUUUUGCCAUCUCCAACGACAGGCACGGUUCCUUCAGAAUCUCUGAACAACGGUUUACUCAUCGACCAGAAUGAAAUCAAACCUGAAGAUGCGAAGGAUGCAGCAUGAUGCUUACUUCACCGCCAAGCAACAGUUAUUCAAUUAACGGCUUUUUAGAAUUUCAUUUUCUAAGAUAAAGUUAUAAUGCCUUUUUUUAUUAAGUUUUUUCUGUUUAGAAGGGUUAGGAGGUUUAUAACCGACCCUUAUUGUGUUUUUGAUAAUCAUUUUUUUGAAAGAUAUUAAUCAAGAGUUUUCUCUUAAGCCUUGUAUUGAUUCGAUUUAAUUCAUAUGUCUUGAGAACUUUGUGUUGAUUUUGAUUCAAUACAUCAGCUGAAGAAGUAAUUAUCUCUAGAGAUUUCGAUAAAUCCGUAGAUUUGAGCUGAGUUGAAACAUUCAAGUACAGAAAAAACAUAUACAUAUAUUGUCCUUUGGACUCGUCCACCUAACGCACAUUGUUUUAUAAGGACUUGAUGACACAUUCUCUGCUUCCUCCUGCCAUUGUACGGACAAAACAUUAAGAAAAGGAAGUUAGAAGGGCUUGUAAUGUUCACACCUUGGAGGGAUUGUUCAUAUUGGUCAUGUUUCUUGUAUUCUUUCAUGUUCCUGCUACAACGGUUCACAUUGUUGUUCUAGUUAUUGUACAUCCUGCAAAACCACACUUUAGUUGCUCGUCCUACUAUCUUCAUAUACAUCUCCAUUACAUUAGAAUCAUGAAAUUGAGAAGCAAAGUCCCGAAUGAAGCGGAUUCGAUCGAUUAGUUUUAUCAAAUAAAUCUAUAAUUAUUUAAAUGAAUUAUUAUUUUAAAUAUUUAUUUUAUAGUAUUACUAAAAAUUAAAAUAUAUUGAUAUAAACAUGAUUUUGAGAGUUUAUGUAAUAUUUUUAAAUUUAAAUUUUAUAAAAUUUUAUCUAAAAUAACGUCGUUUUGAUAAAUUAACGAAUGACUAACACCUUUGAUGAUCAACUUAUAUAAACACAAUUUUAAAAAUUUAUGUACUGUUUUUAAAUUUAGCUUAGUUCAGUGUGGAAUAUGCACUGUUAUAAAAUCCGAGAAGAAAAAAAUAUGACACGUAAAGUUUAUAUAGUGUUUUAAAAAUUUUAUUUAAUUUAGUAUAGAAAAUGUAAUACUAUCUAUAUAUAUAAAGUUGGGUUAUGCUCUCUCCUUAGCCCUCCACAUCAUCAGGAAGCAUGGGGCUUUUGUUGACACGUGGCACUCCUAACAACGUAUGUUAUUCACUUUGAUUUUUCUUUUUAACCUAACCAACCGUCGCCGUUCCAAAUCCUCUUCUCAGCGAUUCAAAUCAAAAACGGCAGUCUUUACGGAAUUGAACCCUCAAUACCCACAACUUCAUCUUGCUUCUUUACUUCUUCUUCAAGCUCGCUCAUGGAGUAUAUAUAUAGAGGGUUUGAGCGUCUUCACAAUCAUCUAUUUUGUCUGCCUUUAAUGGCAUAACCCUAAAGCUCUCUCACCAAUAUCCGAUAAUGGCUAAUCAACAGCUCCGAUUCUCAGAGCUCAAGAUAGGCCGUAGUAUAAAUUUUGUGUCAAGAUAGGAGGAAAGUCGAUGGGUCUCGAUCUGAUCCUGCUUGAUGGAUAGGUAACUACUAUAAAUUUUGAUGUACGUUAAAAACCAUUAGGACCUUCUAAGAAUAACAUCUCACGGGGUAAGCCUCACCUGAUGAUGGUAUCCUUUGUUUAGGCAUUUCGAUCUCUGUUCUUUGUUUAUUCGUCUCUUUGUCUUUUAUUGUUUGCGUUAUUGGAUUUAUAUCUCGACGAUGUAAUUCGAUUUUCAUCGGGGGAUGGGGGCUUAAGAUUGUUUGGUAUCGCGUAGAUAACCAGCACUUGAUAUCUCCGUCGCGACCUUUCACUCUCGAGAGACAGUAGCUUUUCGUCAUGGUGAAUUCUCAAACCCACUCGAGAAUCGGGAUGGUACGCGUCGAAUUCUUCUUCCAAAAUUUGUGUUUAUAUAUCUGCCCAUUUUACUUCCUUCUGUGCAGGCAGAACAUGAACAAGAAGCUAUUAGGCAGAGGAAAAUGCAAGAGCUGAUGGCUCAACAUGGCACUGUAACUUCUAAUUUCUAAUAACCUUCACGGGAAGCAUGCAAUCAUCAGAAUCCAGAUCAAUAGAAAGCGCAAGAAAAUGCUAAGAGGUGUAUCGUUUGUUAUCUAUUAGUUGAAAAAAACUCUAUGUUGAGCUAAACUAUUCUCUGAUUGGAACGUAUGUUUAGGGAAGCUGAUGAACGUAGAAAAGUGAUGCUUAGUCAAAUGUUAUCUUCCCAAGCGCGAGAGAGAAGUAUUUCCCAUAAAAAAUGCUUUGGAAUUCGUCUUUCUUCUCUUCAUUUGUUUCUUGUGACUUAGAGUUAAACAAUAUCAUUGAGUUUAAAUUUGCCUCGGAUGUGUUAACAGAUCCAGUGGUAUUGUGCGGUUGACGACGAUUAGGAAGAAAAAAAUUAGGAUGUGCUUUUUAUAUGUAUGGAGAUCUCACUGUUGAGCUGGUGAUGUUGAGUUGGUGAGUUCACUGUCGCAUGUUCAUUCUGAGUGAAUCUUAAUGGUCUUCCAAAUGGUAGGAUGAGAUAAGAGAGUAAUCAGAAACUGGAACUCUGUAUUUUUUUUUGGCAUUUCCUAUGUGAACCAUCUCUAUCUUCAUUUUCAUUUUUCUCAUGAUUUUUUCCCAA